rnacentral:rRNA from 1 species
GGGCUNANUAACGCGUGGGAAUCUACCCAGUAGUACGGAAUAACCAUUGGAAACGAUGGAUAAAACCGUAUAAUCCCUCAGGGGCAAAAAUUUAUUGCUAUUGGAUGAGCCCGCGUGACAUUAGCUAGUUGGUAGGGUAACGGCCUACCAAGGCGACGAUGUCUAGCUGGUCUAAGAGGAUGAUCAGCCACACUGGAACUGAGACACGGUCCAGACUCCUACGGGAGGCAGCAGUGGGGAAUAUUGGGCAAUGGGCGAAAGCCUGACCCAGCCAUGCCGCGUGAGUGAUGAAGGCCCUAGGGUUGUAAAGCUCUUUCGCAGGUGAAGAUAAUGACGGUAACCUGAGAAGAAGCCCCGGCUAACUUCGUGCCAGCAGCCGCGGUAAUACGAAGGGGGCUAGCGUUGUUCGGAAUUACUGGGCGUAAAGCGCGUGUAGGCGGAUGUGCAAGCAAGGGGUGAAAUCCCGAGGCUCAACCUCGGAACUGCCUUUUGAACUGCAUAUCUGGAGUAUUGGAGGGGAGUGCGAAAUUCCUAAUGUAGAGGUGAAAUUCGUAGAUAUUAGGAGGAACACCGGUGGCGAAGGCGGCACUCUGGACAAUAACUGACGCUGAGACGCGAAAGCGUGGGGAGCAAACAGGAUUAGAUACCCUGGUAGUCCACGCCGUAAACGAUGGAUGCUAGCCGUCGGGGCGCGAGCUUCGGUGGCGACGCUAACGCAUUAAGCAUCCCGCCUGGGGAGUACGGUCGCAAGAUUAAAACUCAAAGGAAUUGACGGGGACCCGCACAAGCGGUGGAGCAUGUGGUUUAAUUCGAGGCAACGCGAAGAACCUUACCAGGGCUUGACAUGCCCGUCGCGGAGACCAGAGAUGGUUUCCUUCAGCUUGGCUGGACGGUGCACAGGUGCUGCACGGCUGUCGUCAGCUCGUGUCGUGAGAUGUUGGGUUAAGUCCCGCAACGAGCGCAACCCUCGUCCUUAGUUGCCAUCAGGUAAUGCUGGGAACUCUAAGGAAACUGCCGGAGUUAAUCCGGAGGAAGGUGGGGAUGACGUCAAGUCUUCAUGGCCCUUAUGUCCUGGGCUACACACGUGCUACAAUGGUGGUGACAGUGGGCAGCGAUAUCGCAAGGUAAAGCUAAUCCCCAAAAGCCAUCUCAGUUCGGAUUGUGGGCUGCAACUCGCCCGCAUGAAGUUGGAAUCGCUAGUAAUCGUAGAUCAGCAUGCUACGGUGAAU